GAGUCGGCCGCGCCCAAGUCCAUUGGAACAUGGCGCCUGGGAGGGUGAGAGCCCCGUAUGGCGCACGCCGACUCUUUGCACCGCGGCUCCGACGAGUCGAGUUGUUUGGGAAUGCAGCUCUAAGUGGGUGGUAAAUUCCAUCUAAAGCUAAAUAUUGGCGAGAGACCGAUAGCGAACAAGUACAGUGAUGGAAAGAUGAAAAGCACUUUGAAAAGAGAGUGAAACAGCACGUGAAAUUGUUGAAAGGGAAGGGCUUGCAAGCAGACACGGUUUUACCGGGCCAGCGUCGAAAAGGGGGGAGGAACAAGAACUCGAGAAUGUGGCGCGCACCUUCGGGCGCGCGUGUUAUAGCUCGUGUUGACGCCUCCAUCCCUUUUCGAGGCCUGCGAUUCUAGGACGCUGGC
rnacentral:rRNA from 1 species